rnacentral:rRNA from 1 species
AUGGUACCUAAUGGUCUCCAUCUGGCUUCUGUUGAAUCAGGAAUCGUCACCUUUCAGGGACAUCCCAACAGUGAUCAUGUCAUUGGAGAGCAUACCGCGUACACCACGCUGCCCAAGGUCACCCUUUUGAGUCAGUUGGGCAUCUCCACAAACAUGACCCACCCCACGUCUUCCCUUGUUGCCUGCUUGUUCCUUAGGAACCCUUGUGGCCCCAAAUCUGAGAGACUUCACACCAACGGAGCAAUUAGAGAUCAGGGAGGGACUAAGCUAAAGCAUAUGGAUAUGGAGUGGGAGCACCUGAAACGCUGCUUUGGAUCGUUGACGGAGGAAAACCACUGCCUGCAGCGGGAAGUGAAGGAGCGGAGGGAGAUGCGUGUGGCCCCACCCAUCGUGCUUUCCCCGCAAACACGCCAGCCACUCCAGGCGUCCGCGCUCACCGGUAUGCCCCUGCUGCGAGCGCCUUACCGCUGCCGCCGCAGG